rnacentral:misc_RNA from 1 species
AAGACUAUAGACCUGCGGAGUACCUGCGGAAGGAUCAUUACAGAGUUACUACUCCAAACCCAUUGUGAACCUUACCUAUGUUCUGUUGCCUCGGCGGCGUGGUCAGCGCCCCUCUGAAAAGAGGACGAUGCCCUCCCGCCGGCAGCACCAAACUCUUUGAAUUUUACAGCGGAUUACAGUUCUGAUUUGAAAACAAAAAACAAGUUAAAACUUUUAACAAUGGAUCUCUAGAUCGGAAGA